CUAGAAUCCCCCCGCAGAACUUUAAGGAGGCUGAAUCUUCCCUCCACUGGGCUUCACUUUAGACUAUCCUUGCUUUCAGGCCCCACAAAGCCCAAGGAAAGACUUUUCCCUUUGAAGUACAGCUUCUCCCUCAGAGAAGGUUGGUUGUGUGGAGCCUUUCAUGUAUAUCAGGAGAACUUCUUUUACGCUCCGGAGUCGUCUAUGACCAAAUGAAAAUCACGGAGGAGACAGAUUUUAAAUGAGAGGAAAUGAAGGGUUUAAGCUGAGCUGAACACAAAUUCUAAGCCCAGAAGCAGAGCACAUGUAAAGAAGAAGGCUGCAAGCUUGGAACUGUGUUCUUAACUGUGGGAGCCCCGCUGAGCACACUGGGAAAUGGCCAUUCUUAGGCCUGGUUUCACAACAUCACCAGGUGUUUCCAGUUAUCUCAAAGGGGUAUCAUGAAGUUUACAAAGCAGAAUAUAAUUUAAAUUCUUGGGAAUAUAAAAAGCAAUUAUU